UACGUAGGUGGCAAGCGUUGUCCGGAUUUACUGGGCGUAAAGAGCGCGCAGGCGGUCGUUCAAGUCGCGUGUGAAAGCCCCCGGCUCAACUGGGGAGGGUCACGCGAUACUGAUCGACUCGAAGGCAGGAGAGGGAAGUGGAAUUCCCGGUGUAGUGGUGAAAUGCGUAGAUAUCGGGAGGAGCACCAGUGGCGAAGGCGACUUCCUGGCCUGUUCUUGACGCUGAGGCGCGAAAGCGUGGGGAGCAAACAGG
rnacentral:rRNA from 1 species